rnacentral:lncRNA from 1 species
CAUUGCUAUUUCUCUAGAUGGUUGUUUUUAUUUCGCCAUCCGUCAUGAUAAAAACUGGCAUAACCCAGAGCCUGACUGUUUACUGUCGUUGGAUGAGUGCUUCUUAUGGUGACACACCCAUUCUAUUGAGUAAAUGCUAGGCUGCAGCAGGCUGGGGAGUUGUGACUGUCAGCAUUCCGAAAAGGGACUUAUAACAACCAUGGUGCCGUUGCAGAUAAUUGUAGGUAUUUUCGUGGUCUCAGUAGGAAUAGAUUUUUGCCAUAAAUCUUAUGGGGGUGUGUAUUCUGGUUUUCUAGAAAAUCAGGCACCUCCAGGUGUGCUGAUCUUACGAUGCCUGGAUCAUCACCUGUUGGAGAAGGGAUCCUGGCCCUCUUCUCCCACAUGUUCCUGGAAGGACCGGAUACCUUGUACAGCUGUACUCUGCCUCAUCUCUAUUCCUAAAGAGAGGAGAUGGGUUAAUAGCUAUAUAGACGGAAAAUUGUUUUCAGAAGGAGUUGGGAACAGAGCUGUAAAACCGUAAUGUCUUCCAGACCCACUUUUUUUGGUCAUCCAGGCAAUCACAACAGACGCUUGGUAUUAUAUUCAGAGAGAGGACUUUUCUUCCCUUUUCCAAGUCCUCUCAAGAGCCCGACUUCUUUUAAUAUAGCAUCUCUUCGUACUUGGCUUCUCAAGCAAGAGACUCAUCUUAAUAUUUUUGUAAGUGAGCUCUCUCUAUCAUUUGUCUUCACUCAGAUUUUCCUAGAUCAGCUCUUCCCUUCCAUUUAUGACAAUUUUAGAUUCUCAGAUCACAUUUUUUUCUCGUCUCUCUUCUGUCUUCAGAUUACCCAUCCAAAAUACCUUUGUUCAUACUUGAUACCUGCAUCAGUCCCCCAGGGAUAUUUUGGGUUUCCAGGUCCAUUCAAUUGCCAGAUUUUCCUACUGCUCUCUUGCCUGUCUACACGACCUGAUCAUUCGAAUCUAUUUUAGAAUUCCUUGGCUUUGUUUCAGUUUUCCUUGUCAAAUAAAGUUCCCUUUCUUAUUAUACAAGUUCUACCUCUUCACUGACUUUUUAAAGAAAACAUACGCUUGUCAUUUAGAUCCGACCUAUGUCAUUUAUGUCUGUAAAGUUAUUCUUAUUUCACUGAAUUGGUCUCCAUUUACUCACCUACUCUUUAAUUUCGCUACUGGCAUUUUUAUUGAGCAGUUUUUUUUUCUUCCUUCACUGUUUAAAAGUUUUCAGCCCUAGCCUUCUAGAUGGGGGCAAACCCCCAUUCUUUUUCUUGGGUAAUAUUUUCCAGUCACUUACAUGCAAGGGCAACUGGUUCUGCCACAGAACUUUUUUUUUUUUUUUUUGAGCUACUUAACUAACCGCAUUAACUUUAUCAUAAAAAUAUCACCAGCCCCUGAGAGAAAAAGAACCAGUGGGAUCUCAAGGAAUAACUGACCACCGUGAUUGUGCCACGGAAUCCUCAGACACACAGCAUCUUCACCUCGCUUUCUCACUCUUUAAGUGGCUCUUGCUUUCUGAUAUCUCACUUUUUCAAAGUUUUUCAGGCUUAUGUAAGAGCUGUCUUUUUAUUUUUCCUUUCCCUGAUAAUGUUCCAUAUGCUUUUGGAGCUACUUUUAGGCUAUUUACGUAUAUUUUGUGGCACGUAAGGAGCUCUUUGAUGAAGUCGAUGAUGUGACGAACUAUCAGUUGGAACAAUUAGUCAGGAAUCUUUCUUCCCUAGAGCUAUGGCAUUAGACCAGGGCUCAAAUGGGUGUCUGUUGUAGGUGGUGUCUGAUCUGUUCUACUCAAAGUUGUAGUAUAUUAGGAAGUAAUUCUAUGACGAAAUUGGCCAUCAGAAACAAAAUCGUGCCAUUGAAACGUUUCAGAAGUGAAACGAACCUCAGUGUUAUCACUCCCUGAUUUUAGGGUGAGGACGCCAAGUUUUGGAGAGCUUGCUUGUCCAGACUCACUGAUGGCAAACGGGCAGAGCAGAGCAAGUAGUGCCCCCUGAGAUCUAGUGACGUUCAUUCAAAGUUCAGAUGCUUAACAGCAGAUCACUUUCCAAAUUCCUGAGACAUGUUUCUCUGCUACCCCUUGCCCACUUUAUCCAUUAUGAAGAAAGCUUUCUGACUUCUUCAAGGAAAAUUCUGGAUUUUUUUCAUGUCUGUGUUAUAACCUCACAAACAUGAGCUAUUAUCUGGUGCGGUAAUACUAUUUAGUGUAAGUUUUAUUUGUUUAGUUACAGCAAUACAAUAAGGCCCAGAGCUAUUGGUUUUGUUUUCGUUUUUGUUUUGUUUGUUUGUAUGUUUGUUUGUUUUAACCUUUCUCAAAUAAGCUUUUUCAAACUUUCCUGAAUCCACUUAUCCGUAUUUCCUUCUGCUUUAGUUGCACCUUUUAGCUUUUGCCACUUCUAAUCUCCUGUAGGUGGAGGACUAUUCAGGUCAAUACUAUACAUGAAAGAAUAUUUACUAAGCCUCUUAAUGAGUGCUUGGGGACAUGAUACAGGCUCUCCUAUUGCAGGAAGGGGGACCCCUUCCAGGGCCUGAGCACGGGCUCUUGUCUAACACUUGGAAAUCAAAUGUACAAAGAGACACAUGCGCUGACAAAGCAAAACUUUAUUGAGAAGGGAGCCCAAGCGGAGAGCAGCAGGGUGAGGGCACCCAGGAAGACCCUUCUGCCACGUGGCUCGCAGUCUCAGGUUUUAGGGGAAUGAGGUUAGUUUCCAGGUUGUCUCUAGCCAGUUGUCUUGCUUGGCCCACCCUUGGCCUGGUUCAGGGUCCUUCUUGGUGACACAUGUACCUCUCAGCCAAGAUGGAGUCCAGCGCCAAGGAUUCUGGAAGGUUGGCCGUCUCCUCUGUCCUACUGACCCCUCCUUGGUCCUCCUCUUAGUCUUCAGAGCAGCACCACAUUCCUUAUCAGGGCCUCCAGCUGUGCUGUGAGACACCUCGCGCAAGCAGCUAUUACUGUGCUUGGCCCACGUGGGUGCUUUCAUUCAGUGGUCCCCUAACCCGCCUGCGGGAGCAGCCCCCUUUCCUAUUUAUCUUUGAAGUGGGGACGAUGAUCUUGAGGUCGCCAAGGCAGUGGAGAAGAGGGCGUUCUUCUCAUCCAAACCCACUGAGAGGGCAUGCAUAUCCACCCAUAGCACUUGGGCGAGGACAGGUCCUAUCUCUGCAUUUUGAAUCGAUGCCCCCAGUGUUAAUAUUCCAACCCACGGGCCUGGGAGAAACCUAAAAUUCCUAUUCUUUUUCAAACAUAUUCCAGUUUAUAAUCCUGACUCCCUUCUUAGGUUCUAGGAUUUUCCUUAGACCAACAAACCGCUCCAUUUAGAAAGGAAUGAACAGGGUAGACUCGUGUGAGAGUCAGCACGUGAGAUGUGUUCAGAAGUCCUGUGCCCUUGAUCUGGGAGGGAAAGCACCAUUUGUCAGGGAUGCCGGCUUCCCUGGCUUCCCCUUGCUGAGCAGGUAAAUGAAGAUGUUAGAGAGGGGCCUCCAGAGCAGCCGUGCCACCGGGCAGAUCUUUCUUUGUGAGUAGCGAAGCCCUGUUCUUCCCAAAUGUCAGAGUUCUUGGAACGAAGCAAAUGCUUUCAAUGACCUCUUCCACACAUUGGCUUCUCCCGCUAUCUCCCUCCCUCCCUCCCUCCCUCUCUCUCUCUUUCUCUCUUUCUCUGUGUGUGUGUGUGUGUAUGUGUGUGGAGAGAGAGAGAGAGACAUUUCCAGACAGUGAUUGUAAAGUCAAGUCAAAAGAAGGAAGCUGUGAACUGCAGUGGAUCCAGGCGUGACUGACAACGAGUACUAGAAAUUCCAAAAGUUCAAAAUAGCAACUGGGCUGUCUCACUAUGUUUUCUUAUUAACAGGGGUGAGUAGGGGAAAAAAUGUCAGUAAUCGUACAUUAAUUUCAGAGUCAGAGCCACCAUGGCUCUGUGAAUUCCACCUAUCACAUAGAAUUGAUUCUAGGAAACCCUUCUUUUUCCUCUGAUUUCUGUAUAUCAGUGGGUUCAAAUACUCUACUCUUCUGUCUACCCAGAUGCGAAAACAAUAACCUCAAACUAGAGUGUCAGGUUGUUUGGGUAUUAGCUUUUCCGAAAGGGCAUCACUUUUGCUAGUACUCUUUCUGCCUUCUAUAGCUCUUUUUCUGUCGUGAACUGACACUGAAUUCUGUGAAGUUCGGACUGAUCUGGAAUUCUCCUUUGGAAUAAUUUCAUGUGGUAUUUUUGUCUGUUUAGCAUUUAUUAGCUCUGAUAUAUCUGCUCUGGUGUAUCUUGUCAAUAACAUACUUAUGUACACGGUUCUGAUUGUUUUAAUGUGCUAAAUUUCAGUCUUCGAGGCCCUGAAAAGCUGGGCUAAGAACCUGCAUUAAACGCUGCACCUGAGCUCAUCCUCAGGCUCAUCAAUAUGAUUAAUUUGGAAGAGAGUGAGUUCACGUGAUAUUUUCCUCUUAUAUUACCUAUAAAUAAUAUUUGCUGCUCGGUUUUUAAAAUAUAUUAUAAACCCUGGUCUUUUAUCAUCUACUCUGUGUAUUUUUUAACAUUCCCAUAGAUUUUAUUUUAGCACGAGAGUGACCUCCAUGUUUUUAAAUGUUUUCAUAAAUGCUCUGCAGCUUUUUUUCCUCUUACUCAUCAACAUUCCUUGUCCAGAGGAAGGCAAAGAGGAUGAGAAAGAGAGAGAGAGUAGCAUCUGCUUCUUGAAAUAAACGAAAAAUCCUUGAAGGAAAAACUGACUUGCAAAAAAGAGGGAAUAGACAAGGGAACGGAAAUAACUGACUUGAACUGUAAUAAAUGAAACUGAAGUUUUAUGUUUUUCUUGACAAUCAACAUUUUAAUUAAAAAUUUUAAAGACUUUAAAGACAUGCAAUGCCCUUCAAGUAAUAGUCUUUAAGGUCUUCAGGCUGCUUGGCUCCCUCGUCAUGGAAUGAAUGAGCAGAAAUUCAGAGACAUCAUUUCAGGAAAAAAUGAUCUCAAGACUUGCGAGAGACUAAGAGUCUGUGUUUCUGACAAGGGACCCCAAGAACCGUGUGCUCUGCGUACUUUCCCCCAGGCUGGGCUCACGGGCGGUAACACUGUUCUCAGAAGUAGAGCUGAGGCACCGCAGGAAGAAGCGCAAGGGAGCUGGAGGGUUAGGAGGCAAGUGAAAGCUCUUCUGUCAUUAGCUAGAAGAGUUCUCAGGGAACUGUCAAAACCCAACCUGGGGCUGGUCUCUGGGAAACUGUGACCACUUUAGAAAAUGGGAAAAUAUCUAGAGGUUGUUUCCAAACGUUAGUUCCCAACCCCUUUGCAUUCAUCGCUGAGAGCUCACAGAAGUAAUGGCUUCCCUUGGCCACACUGGCGUGUUUCCUCCCUGUUGGCUUCUGGUGCUGUCCUUGCUUCUCGUGGCUCCCCUUGGGGCUCUGGCUCAGCCAGGGGUGUGUAGGCCUGACGUGCCCCAGUGUGAUCACAAGUCAGCCCUGGCUCUCCUGUGUGGUUCUGCGUUGUGGCUUCACCCGCCCCUGGGUUGCCCAUCUGACCUCGUGCCCCAGCAUUCCUGUACUGUUCCCUGGCCUCUCUCCUUGAGAGAAGGGAUCCCUCCUUUGUUUCAUGGGAGAAGAUACGUGAUCAGCUCCGAUCCUCCCUUCCUGGUUUCUCCCCUUGUAAGAAUCACCAGCUUAACUCAGGGAUCUACUCUUGCCUGCAUUUCUGUGCUGCCAUGUUUGGUCACACUGCCCACUACGGCAUUCAUUCACUUCUUUAUUUUUUUUAUUUUUUAAAUUAUGGUUGAUUUACAAUGUUCUGUCAAUUUCUGCUCUACGGUAAAGUGACCCACGUAUACAUACAUAUUCACUAUGGCAGGCCUUAACUUUUCAGGUCCCAUCUAUGUCAUGGAAAGUCAUAAGAAUUAUGUAAACCUGUCUGCCAUUCCCAGGCUCUAAUACAUUCAUGCAUGGUAUCAGUCAGCUGACAAAUUAACAUUAGAAAGCCAAUUACGUACUCAUAAUUGUGGCUCCUCAUAAUUGUGAUAGGCAAGGGAGGGCUUACAGGACAAAUACAUCAAUGUUGUUGGCUUUAAAGAGCUUAUUUUAAUAUUGUUGAGAGAGAAGUUAAGUUUGUGUGGACAGACUGGUCCUUUUCUAUGAAACACGCAGUGCUCCACUGCAGCACAGGACUAGAGAAAAACUCCCAGGAGGAGCUGUGACCUAGGGGACUACAGUUUGGACUCUGACAUUUUCCCGGUUGACGUUGUUGUCUUCUUAUGCGUUGCUUCUGAUGCUUUAUUGUGUGUCACACCUUCAUUUCCUCCAGGCCAAUCAAAUAGCAACAAUCUCUUCUCGUGUUCACUGUAUUUAGCAUGAUAGGGAAUAUAUAGAUUUUUCACUCUCAAAUGUGUUAUUAAAUCACAGGUAGAAUAAAAUAUUAAUAAACAACAAUAAAUUCUAACAUCUUGGGAGGUGAUUUACUAGGGAUGGUACUGUCUGGUGUAGAGGGGAGAGGGCAGAGUUUUGCAGAAAAAGUGAGUUUCAGGAGGAUUGUGAGUCAUGAAUAACAUGUGGUAAUCCAAGGACAGUUCUUCCCUUUGCUCUUCUGGGCUCUAGCAGGAAAGAAAAAUUUUUGGAUUCUAAGGGUACUUGCAAAAGGAAAAAAGAAACAUAAUCCGUGUUAAAAUGUCCCAUAUCUUCCAUUUACCCAGAACCUUCUCUAGGCUGGAAACCCUGUGCAGCCCUGCACGAACCUCCUUCCCUCUCCCUGGCCAGUGACCUUUUGGCCAUGUGCUGUUGGGGGUCAUCUUGUUUUCCAGCAUUUUGGAACCCGUCAAUGUGAAUGACGUUCUCCACUGACGAACAGACAACAAUGGAGACAAUCAAGUCUUUUCUCAUUUGAUGCCUCCCCCGCAUGUCCCAGACACAAAGGAAAAUUCACCUCAAAUUUCUCCUCAGAAGCUCUUGCCUGCUUCACAACUGACUUGUAGCUAGUGAGCACUAAAUAACACUUUAUCUCUUCCUGGAUUAGGUUUCCAGUCCUGCCUCUCCAAAAAAACUUCAAAAAAAAA